rnacentral:misc_RNA from 1 species
GUUCUUAUUAUGUUUCUCUUGUUGUGACAGCAAGAGCUCUCUCUUCACCACCAUAAAUGAAGGGGAAUUUCCUGGUUUUUGUCCUCCUCUAGCAGCAACAAAUCCCCAAAACUUCCUUGUUUUUGUUUUCUUAUCAUCAGCAAACAAUCUCUUUUUCUUCAGAGAGCAUCAAGAAGCAAAAUUAAGAAAGAAACAAGAGAGUUUGGUGGGAAAAGAAUUGGAGAGAAAGAAAGACAAAAGGGUCUAUACUUCUUCUUUUUUAUAUAUAUCUUUUACUUUUCCUUCUUCCUUCUUCUUUCAAUGUCAAAUAUCACAGGUGAAGGUGGGAGCUUCUCUUCUGGGAAUACUACUGCUGUUGGUGAAGUAGAAGUUCAACAACAAGAGCUGAUUAUUAAUCACUUUAACACCAUAGCUUCAAGCACUACUGCAACUAAUACUACUGAUGGCUCCACUACUCAACAACCACAACCUUCAACAGUUAAGAAGAAGAGAAACUUACCAGGAAAUCCAGACCCUAGUGCAGAAGUUAUUGCUUUAUCACCAAAUGCCCUCUUGGCUACAAACAGAUUUAUCUGUGAAAUCUGCAAUAAAGGUUUCCAAAGAGAUCAAAAUCUCCAGUUGCAUCGACGAGGCCAUAACCUACCGUGGAAGCUUAGGCAAAGAACAAGCACAGAAAUCAGGAAAAGGGUUUAUGUUUGCCCAGAACUUUCAUGUGUUCAUCACAAUCCAGCUCGUGCAUUAGGUGAUCUUACAGGAAUCAAGAAGCAUUUUUGUAGAAAACACGGAGAAAAGAAAUGGAAAUGUGAUAAAUGCUCUAAGAAAUAUGCAGUGCAAUCAGAUUGGAAAGCUCAUACAAAGACCUGUGGUACCAAGGAGUAUAAAUGUGAUUGUGGCACCAUCUUCUCCAGAAGGGAUAGCUUCAUCACUCACAGAGCUUUCUGUGAUGCCCUAACAGAAGAAAAUAACAAAGCAAACCAAGGAUUAGCGCCCAAUAUGGAACGAAACUUGCAUGGCCAAGUCCCCAACCUCAUAUCUAUGCCUAUUAACAACAAUCAAGACCAGUCUACCUUAAUAUCCAACUUUAACAAUAUAGACGCCAAAAUCCCAUUGCCCCUACCCCAUGAACUCAUGCCAAUGCCACCAAAACCCUCAGGAACCAUAUUUUCAAGCAGCACUACAAGCCUUUUUGGUGGUGCAAGAAGCAUGUCAAAUUGUUCCUCAUCCCUUCAGUUAAGUGCAAAUUCUUCAACAAUCUUUGAAGGAAUUGGGCAUCUAUCUGCUGGCUCAGCUUCAAUGUCUGCCACUGCAUUGCUGCAAAAAGCAGCUCAAAUGGGUGCAACUGCAAGUAGUGCUGACCUGAACUGUCCAGUGACUCACAAGAGCUUUGUUACUAGCAUGACACCCUCAACAUUUGGUCCAAUGCAGACCUCAAAUGACCAGUCUCAAGUGACAGCAGGAGGCAAUGGAGGAUUUCUCAACCAGUUUUUCAAUGCAAAUGUUGGGGUUGAGAACUCAGCUGCAAACGAUGUGGAUAUUUUUAGUGGGGUUUUGGACCAAACUAGUGCAUUAUUCAAAAAUAUGGAGCAGGAAAAUAGCAAUGAUAAGAGCCUUUUUCAUGGUGUAAAUUCAAAUCCUGGUUUAAGUGCCCCUUCGAGGAGAGCUAAUCCACGUGGGUUAACGAGGUUUAAUGGGGACGUGAUGACUGUUGAUUUCUUAGGAGUAGGAGUAUCAAGACAAAGUAAUCUCCAUGAGCACCAGAAACAGGAAAUAGAGUUUAGAGGAAUUGGUCAUCCAAGAAUUCGUCAAGGUCUGGGUCACUUCGAGCAAACAGCUUUGGAGAAAGCCAUGUGGGAUGUCUGAAAAAGAAACAGUAAUCCAUAAUUUCUAGCUAGUCCUUGUAAUGAGUUUCUCUAAUUGCCCUUUUUUCAAAAGAAGAUUUUUGCUUCUCCUUUUUUUUGUUUUAAUAGAUGUAUUGAUGUCAGCAGUCAGCCAUAGUCUUUGCUAAAGAGCAAAAUGAAGAGGAUUUUUGGAGAAAAAUUAGCAAUUUAGUUUGAGUAGAAGAAACUUUAGAGGUGAUCUAUAAACUUCUUCUUUCACUCUCUAGGGAACUAUUUUCUUACUCUUGAAUUUGUAUGUUAAAGACCUGUUAUGAAAAUCAUACCCACAUAAAUUAAAG